rnacentral:lncRNA from 1 species
GAGAAGAGAAUAUAUUUCUUCUAUGUAUCCAAGUGUAUUACAAAAUGAUUUCUCGUCCUCUAUUUAUAGUACUACAUAGAGGUAUACUAAAAGAAUUCCAUAAAUAUGUCAUUAAGCUGUUGAGAUCAUGGAGGAAGAUCAUGGGGGAGAUCAUGGAGGUGUGGGAGUUACAACCAUAAGUAUUGGAGUAGUGGGAGUUAUGGAGAUAAUGG